UACGUAGGGGGCAAGCGUUGUCCGGAAUCAUUGGGCGUAAAGCGCGUGUAGGCGGCCCGGUAAGUCCGCUGUGAAAGUCGGGGGCUCAACCCUCGAAUGCCGGUGGAUACUGUCGGGCUAGAGUGCGGAAGAGGCGAGUGGAAUUCCUGGUGUAGCGGUGAAAUGCGCAGAUAUCAGGAGGAACACCGAUUGCGAAGGCAGCUCGCUGGAACGUUACUGACGCUGAGACGCGAAAGCGUGGGGAGCAAACAGG
rnacentral:rRNA from 1 species